CACGUAGGGGGCAAGCGUUGUUCGGAAUUACUGGGCGUAAAGGGCAUGUAGGCGGCCUUGUAAGCUUGGCGUGAAAGUCCACGGCUUAACCGUGGGAUUGCGUUGAGAACUGCGAGGCUUGAGUGACGGAGAGGGAGCUAGAAUUCCUGGUGUAGGGGUGGAAUCUGUAGAUAUCAGGAAGAAUACCAAUGGCGAAGGCAAGCUCCUGGCCGAUGACUGACGCUGAGGUGCGAAAGUGUGGGGAUCAAACAGGAUUAGAUACCCUGGUAGUCCACACUGUAAACGAUGUGCACUAGGUGCUGGGGCGGAUGCUUCAGUGCCGUAGCUAACGUGAUAAGUGCACCGCCUGGGGAGUAUGCUCGCAAGGGUGAA
rnacentral:rRNA from 1 species